rnacentral:snoRNA from 1 species
CCCCUCUCAGGAUCGCACCUGCUGAGUUUCCAGUACUUUACCAGACUCGGCUAUGGGAGGGAGAGUCAAGCAGAGGUCUACUCAUUCCAUUCCUAGCUUGGCCAGUGGCUGGCGGGUGGAAGGCCAUCUGCUAUAAGU